rnacentral:rRNA from 1 species
GACGAACGCUGGCGGCGUGCCUAAUACAUGCAAGUAGAACGCUGAAGGAGGAGCUUGCUUCUCCGGAUGAGUUGCGAACGGGUGAGUAACGCGUAGGUAACCUGCCUGGUAGCGGGGGAUAACUAUUGGAAACGAUAGCUAAUACCGCAUAACAGUAGAUGUUGCAUGACAUUUGCUUAAAAGGUGCAAUUGCAUCACUACCAGAUGGACCUGCGUUGUAUUAGCUAGUUGGUGAGGUAACGGCCCACCAAGGCGACGAUACAUAGCCGACCUGAGAGGGUGAUCGGCCACACUGGGACUGAGACACGGCCCAGACUCCUACGGGAGGCAGCAGUAGGGAAGCUUCGGCAAUGGACGGAAGUCUGACCGAGCAACGCCGCGUGAGUGAAGAAGGUUUUCGGAUCGUAAAGCUCUGUUGUAAGAGAAGAACGAGUGUGAGAGUGGAAAGUUCACACUGUGACGGUAGCUUACCAGAAAGGGACGGCUAACUACGUG